GAUGAACGCUGGCGGCGUGCCUAAUACAUGCCAGUCGAGCGAACAGACGAGGAGCUUGCUCCUCUGACGUUAGCGGCGGACGGGUGAGUAACACGUGGAUAACCUACCUAUAAGACUGGGAUAACUUCGGGAAACCGGAGCUAAUACCGGAUAAUAUAUUGAACCGCAUGGUUCAAUAGUGAAAGACGGUUUUGCUGUCACUUAUAGAUGGAUCCGCGCCGCAUUAGCUAGUUUGUAAGGUAACGGCUUACCAAGGCAACGAUGCGUAGCCGACCUGAGAGGGUGAUCGGCCACACUGGAACUGAGACACGGUCCAGACUCCUACGGGAGGCAGCAGUAGGGAAUCUUCCGCAAUGGGCGAAAGCCUGACGGAGCAACGCCGCGUGAGUGAUGAAGGUCUUCGGAUCGUAAAACUCUGUUAUUAGGGAAGAACAAAUGUGUAAGUAACUAUGCACGUCUUGACGGUACCUAAUCAGAAAGCCACGGCUAACUACGUG
rnacentral:rRNA from 1 species